AACCCAGUGGGCUAUGGAAAUG
rnacentral:miRNA from 1 species